UACGUAGGGGGCAAGCGUUGUCCGGAUUUAUUGGGCGUAAAGAGCGUGUAGGCGGCCAGGUAGGUCUGCUGUGAAAACUCGAGGCUCAACCUCGAGACGCCGGCGGAAACCAUCUGGCUAGAGUCCGGAAGAGGAGAGUGGAAUUCCCGGUGUAGCGGUGAAAUGCGCAGAGAUCGGGAGGAACACCAAUGGCGAAAGCAGGUACCUGGACUAUUACUGACACUAAGCUGCGAAAGCUAGGGGAGCAAACAGG
rnacentral:rRNA from 1 species